AUCUCCUCCUUAUAUACAGUUUGUGUAUUGAAUAUUGGAUUGCCUAUACAGAGAAUAUAAACAUAAAACAAAACAUAGUGUAAUCUGUAUAUCGUACACAAUAGAAAUGGAAGUUCUGAGUUAGAAACACUCACACUUUGAUGAGCCGUUUAAAGUUACCCGAAUAUAUCAGAUGCCUGCUGGAGAUGCCACACAAACAAGGGCACAAUGCUACACACUUGGUGGCAAUGCACGGGACUCAAGACCUACUGGCAAGAUGUAGCAACCUUAGCACAGCAAUGCACCGCUAGAUACCAACAAAAUCCACCCGGCAAAACUGUAAGGCCACUCUCUAGGAUUACCGCUCACGACCAGCCAAAAUUUAGGCCAAGCACGACCUACCUAGCAUCAUAGACGAACAAU